rnacentral:lncRNA from 1 species
ACUUGGACCAACCUCUUCCUUUUCCUGACUGCUUAGGAAGGAUGGAAUGUAUUUCCUUCCUUCUGGGAGUGUUUGAAUGAAGAUUAGACUCUCCUUGACCAUGAAUGAAGAGCAACCAGUUUUUUAGUAUACAGUGAUUUAGACUCUGGGUCUAGAGUGUAGAUAUCAUGGGCACUGUGAAAGCACAGAAGGAGAAAAGGUUUUUAUUUUGGUGGGGCUUUGUGUCUGAAUUCUGGCCAAUGGAACCACGUGGAGGCCUGGCCCAGAACAUCUCCCUGUGGAUUCUCUCAUCUGGCAACUGGAUGCCUACACGAAGGGUGAUUUUGGAGUCAUGUGUUGGAGAUCACAAAGCUUUUGUCAGCCAGGUUCCUGAAUGACUGCUAGACACCAUGGGCUGAACUUUAUGAGCUCCAGCACCACCUCCAGCCUUCAGUGACUGUCUGGAGCAGGCAUCCGGAUGGAAGAGAAGGGGGACAACCAUGAACUUGGUGACCCACGGUCAGCCUGAUUUCCCUUGUGGACACAUUUAUGCCCAGUGUGCAUUCCUCCUGAGGUCUG